rnacentral:rRNA from 1 species
UCGUGGAGUGAUUUGUCUGCUUAAUUGCGAUAACGAACGAGACCUUAACCUGCUAAAUAGCCAGGCUAGCUUUGGCUGGUCGCCGGCUUCUUAGAGGGACUGUCAGCGUCUAGCUGACGGAAGUUUGAGGCAAUAACA